AUUAAACAUAAUAAAUUAUCUGGGCAGGAAGGUCGUAGAGGAAGUCACAGCAACAAAAUGGAUGGAAGGCACACAGGAGGCAGAAAGACAUAAAGAAGCAGACAUCAAGCCCUCAAAAUGAUAGCCAUUUAGAGUCUCAAAUGCAGGGCAAGCAAGGCAGUUACUCCUUGCGGCACCAUCAUACAGAGAUUACAAGGUCUUGAUCAGGGAUCAACAAACCCAGCCACCACCUGUUUUUCUACAGCUUGUGAGCUAAGAAUGGUUGGCACGUUUUAAAUGGUUGAAAAACACAAAUAUUUUGAGGAGGAGAAGAUAAUUGAAUUGCAUAAGCAUAUUGACUAGGACAGCUUUCAAGUUACAGGGGCAGACUCGAGUGGUUGCAAUAGAGACCACUGACCUGCAAAGCUAAGGUAUUUACUAUCUGGUGCUUUACAGAAAAAGUUUUUCAACCCUCGGUCUAAAUAAUCCAAAUUCUUUGAAAUACGUUAAGGUACGC